GACGAACGCUGGCGGCGUGCUUAACACAUGCAAGUCGAACGAAAAGAGGGAAAGAGCUUGCUCUUUUAUUAAUUUCAGUGGCAAACGGGUGAGUAACACGUAAACAACCUGCCUUAAGGAUGGGGAUAACAGACGGAAACGACUGCUAAUACCGAAUACGUUCUAAGCAUCGCAUGAUGCAUAGAAGAAAGGGUGGCCUCUACAAGAAAGCUAUCGCCUUAAGAGGGGUUUGCGACUGAUUAGGUAGUUGGUGAGGUAACGGCUCACCAAGCCGACGAUCAGUAGCCGGUCUGAGAGGAUGAACGGCCACACUGGAACUGAGACACGGUCCAGACUCCUACGGGAGGCAGCAGUGGGGAAUCUUCCGCAAUGGACGAAAGUCUGACGGAGCAACGCCGCGUGAACGAAGAAGGUCUUCGGAUUGUAAAGUUCUGUGAUUCGGGACGAAAGGGUAAAUAGUGAAUAACUAUAGACAUUGAUGGUACCGAAAAAGCAAGCCACG
rnacentral:rRNA from 1 species